rnacentral:lncRNA from 1 species
GUGAAUGGAAAAAGGAGAAGGGGAGAGAAACGGGGGAAAUCUGGAUAAUACAUUAAAGUAACCAUAAUUUUGGAGAUGCAUUCAUCUUAUUGAAAAUAUGUACGUAACCAGUGAUACCGAAGUCGGAUAUUUGCUCAAUCAGGAUGCUCAACAAUUUGAGCCUUUAAAGUUUGGAGCUGCAUGGGUUUGUGGAGAAAGUCGGCUCGUGAUAUUUCCUCAUGGUUGUGAUUCCUCUUCACUCUUUUGAAUUUGGAAGGAUGGCAUACACAUCUGAAAAAUACCACUACUUCCUUCAUUGGACUGCAAGGUAUUUCUGUUUGGAAAAGUAAUGGAGUCCAGUCAACUUCAUUGAUCGCCAAGGACUGUCAAAAUUAUAAAACUUGCUGUGGAGCUCUGACAUGCCAGAAGCCGCUAGAAAAAGAAGUUUGACAUUCAGAAACUUAUCAAGAGGUUCUACUCUUUGGAUAGAGACCAAAAUCAUACUUUGAAAAAGCCUGACAGGUUUCUUCGGAAAAGUGGCCAUCCAUGGAAUGAAUGAAAUGUUCUCUUUCUAUUCCACCUCUAGAGACCAUCAAAAAACAAUGGCUCAUAAUGCUUUUAGAACAGAAACUGAAGUUGUAUACUGUGCAUAUGUAAUCCUACACAAGAGGAAGGCAAUGUUUAAAGCUGCUGUCACCUCUUAGGGAAAAAACUGGAAUUCUGAGUCAAGUAUGUAUGCAUUUUCUGUUUUCCUGUCUUGUGGGUCUUUAUGACUAAAAACAUUUUUAUGAAAUUGCUCUCUGCUUCUUUAAGCUUUGUGUGGUCUUGUUUGUUUGUUCUCAAAUCUCAAACCAUGCCAUAGUUAGGAAACAUCUUGAGUUGUUAAAAGUUAAAGAAAUUGUAUUUUGUUUAUGAGCAAAAGAGCAGGCCAAGCAAUGUCUUCAGAAACAAAGAUCUUAUUUUAUUUAAAGAAGUUCCUUUUUGUUAUAAGCUAGAAUGAAGAAUGAUUUCAGGACAAUGAGACAGAAACUACCUCUUGAAAGCUGUAAUGUUGAAGCUGGCUACAUAGCUAAAAUAGAGUAGACUGAUUUUCUUUUCUAGGCCUGUUUGGUCAAUUUAAACCAUAUUAAUGGGUGAUCAAACCCUGAAGAGUUCUCUGAGGAUUUAAGUUACCAGCCCACAAUAUACUGACAAUCCACUGAACAACAACAAAACAACAUUUAAUUUCACUUUAUGCAGCACAAACGCAGACUGAGACACUCUAUCAAAUGGUUAAGAGCAUGGGUUUCAAGUCAGAUCCACCUGGAUGUGAGCUCUGGGUCUAGCACUUGCUAACCAUGUAAUCUUGGGCAAUUUAACUUCAUGAAUUCUAUUUCUUCAUCUGUAUUAUAGGAAUGAGGCCAUAUUUCAUGAGAGUAAGAUGCAUUUUUUUUCACAUUUUAACAUCUCUGAUGUUAGAAUGCAUGUUACAAUUGAUGGUGUGUCUUCAUUCAAUUGCCAACACUUUUUCUUUUCUUACUAGUACAUAACUGUGUAAUUACAACCUAUGACAUUUGAGAUUCAAUUAAAUAAUUAACAUAUACCUCAUAGAGUUGUUCUGAGAUAUAAAUAAAAUAAUGAUGUAGAACCUUAUGUCCUAUAAAACCUGCCCCACGGAAGACUUCUAGUAAAUCAUACCAGUUAAUGUUGUACAGUGUGAUGUUUGUAAAGUCUGGCAUUUUCCUGUCUUGUUAGUCAUAAUUUCUGUUUGCCAACUCUAAAAGUUAAUUUCUUUGCAAAAAUCUUUUUGUUGGAACAGUCUGCCUACUGAGUAGCUCGUCAAAUUUCCUCUAAUUGUUCUGGCAGCAUGACAUUGACCCUACGGGUUUACAUAUGAAAUAUGGUCAAAAUAAAGGUUUUAUGAAA